GGGCUGCCCAGGGCUGCGCCAGCUUCAGAAUCCUGCUGCCAUCUAGGGAUGAGAUGAAGCGUCUUCCCGCGUACAGCCGCCCUGAUGGAUCGCUGGGGCCUCGGGCGGGGUGCACCGCUGUCCUUUCGCCGCCGUCCGGGCGGCACUGCACGUGCAGCGCGCGGUCCCCCACCCAGCGCAGCCCGCAACACCCCUGGUCUGCCGCAGGAGACCCUGCCGAUGCCACUCAGGGUCAAGACUCUGGCGCGGUGGAAACUGCAGAGCAAAAGGAAACACAGACAAAAACAGUGAGAAGGAGAGAGAGCAUGUGGGGCUUUGCCAGAGAGGAACUUGGAUGGCAAUCACCUAAGAACUCCAAACUCAGUGCCAGGGCAGACUGGUGUCUAUUUUGCAAUGUCUUCCAGUAGUUGAUAACUUUCUACUUUUAAAAUAAUUGGAAGAAUGUAAGCUCUCAACUAGUCCACUAGUCCCGAAACAAUAGAUACCAGCUGGCAGAGAUAAUAGCUGUCUGGAAGAGAGAGAUACAUACCACAUCAAAAAACAACAAAAAAAGGAUGGCUCAAGUACUCAAAAGGCAGCACUAAAAUAAGGCUAUGUCUCUUCCUGAGAAUACUCUGGACUUCAUUCUCUGAUUAAAGAUCACAACUGCUUCUUCGUUGAGGAAAUCAUGUAUUUCAAAGCCACCAAUGAACAAGAAUGACAAUCCAUGAAUUACACAGUAAACAAAUACUAUAUGUAUGAGACCGAUUCACUGUCACAAACCUGGAGAAGAAAACCCUUUUGAGGUUUAAAGCUGAGAGGGAGAUAAAAACUUGGUUGUACUACUUCUGGGAAAUGCUGAAGUUAUCCACGUGAUUUUCCAGUCACUGAUUAUUUUAGCAAAGUAACACAAACAGAGGAGGAGCUCUGGACUCUAGCUUCUCAUUUCUAAAAGAACAGAUGUAAUGGGAUGUAUUGGUCCAGCACUGAUAACAGGUUAUCCUACAAUCAAGUAUACUCUUUCCAGAAAGCUGAGUUAGGUAUGCAACUGCCUUUCUAAGCCAUGACUACAUUGCUAAAUGAAUCAUUGAUUUGGAAAAUCUGAAGUGACCUUCAGCUUGUUCUCCAGCUCUUCCUCAACAGAAAAGAGAGGCAAAAUCAGCAAAAUAUUGGAAAGAGGUAGUUUUUCUAAAGGUAUUUGUGGCAGGUAGAAGAUUGGAGGCCACUCAGCUAUGUGUGUAAGUGUGUGCAGGGAGAAAUUAGGUUCUAUAUUCAGAAGUGACAUUCUUUGUAUUUUCAGUGUGGCUCUAAAAACAGAGCCUUUUUCUUAUAGUUCAGAGUCAGACACUGCCCUUGGCUUCUCAGCCAUUCUAGUAAACUAUUUGUUACUCAGAAAGCCUCAAAUUCUUCAUUGAAUUUAUUUGGACCAGUUUUUGUGCACUUACCUCGUUGGCAUGGUAAUAGUCUUUUGAAUAACCAAUACUGUGAACAAUUAUACAAUUAAAAAUUCUACUUCCAUUAUUAUUCUUAACUUCUCCCUUUAUAUUUUGUUACAGUUAUGAGGUAUGUUUUAUUAACUAUUCUAGACAUAGAUCUAGCCCUGCAUUUACUCAGCACUGCCUUGCUCCUUUUCAUGAGGGGUGAUCUAGUUAGACAUAUCAAUAUUCAAUGAAAUGUAUAGAUUACCCUGAUAAAAUGGCUCAAUGAAGUUCAUGUAAGGUCAAUGGAAGAUUGAGGCAUCAUAUGCACUGAGCCACUAAUUGGUCUCAUACUAGUAGGAUAUAGCUAUCCCCACCCCCUAUAUCUUGAGUCUCCUUCCUCUUAGGUGCUGAGCAUUUCCAAAGGCUUCUCUAGCUGAAGCAGGUAUAAGAAAAUGAAGUGACAUAAAGCAUCAACCCUUAGGUAUAAAUGAUUGGCAAGUCUCAACCUUGCUAAAACUGAGACUUUUCAAUUAGCUAUGCUUAAAAGUUUCUACUGAAUUACUGAAGCCAUAAUUAUGUAUGUAAUUCAAGUUUCCUUUGAGCUGACCUACAAUGAAAGAAGUUACCUAAAUGACCUCUUAGGUCCUUUUCUCUCUCCAGCAAUCAUGGAUACUUUACGAAUCUCAUAAGGAGUACAGCUCAUUUAUUAUUAACACCAUUUUAGAAUGAAGGAAGAAGAGGCUUAGAAAGGUUUAGUAGCAGAGAAGAGAGCAGCCUUCUGAUUUGUGGGUUCCACAUUCUGGAUGCAGAAAACUUUCAGUCAUUCUUAUCUAUUGUGAGGCUUGUACCAGUUUCUCCAUAAACUUACAAAACCAAACCAUUUUGACAAGCUUUGUUCCUGCCUCUGACUUCUUUCAGAUAGUGGCUAACCAUCUUCUCUUGAUGAGUCAUUUUUGCUCUUCCUCAUUCCCUUCUUGAUGUUCAAGUAGGUGAACGUGAUGACUAUAAAAGGCAAGCAAUUAAUAUCUGGGGUUAGGCAGAGCUCUGUAAGCCAAUCUCCAAGAAUGUGCAAGCUCCUUUGUCCUUAACUGUAACCUUGGCACAUGAAAAGCAACUUCCAUUCCGUUUUACCAACAUUUCGGUCAAAGAUCAAUUGCCAUUGUAAUUAUAUCAUAUAUCACAGGAUGGGGAAUCAGUGAGAGGGCAGGCCCUUUAAACUAAUACAUAUCAUUAGCAUUUAAAGAACAUGAAAAACAAAUUGAACAUUAGUCCUCAUGUAAGUCUUUUUUCUAGAGCAAAUAAUUUUCCAAAUUAAAAUGAAUAAAUUAAUGAAAUUGUCACAUGUCUGAGAAUAAACUAGGUUGGUAAUGCCGUCAAGCUCUUAGCAAAGUUUAGCUCAUUGUACUUCUCUGUCUGAUCAUUAUAACAUCUAAUCAAGGGGAGCUUAAAUACUUCAAUGAGCUCUCAAAAUAAAUUUGAUCUGAGCAGCUCAGGUCUCAUGGAUUCCUAGGGUUACUGACUGGGUGAAACAUGUUUUUGUUUUAAUCCCUGUCUCAGCUCAAAGAGGAUUAAUGCCCGUAAUUCUGCUAUCCCCAUUUAAUUGAGAAAUGAAAUUUGAAGAGGCACCUCCUGGAACACUCCACUUUGAAAUAUGACCCAUCCACUGUCUAUAUAAUAAAUCUUCCUCUGCUCUCACACACUUAUCCACAUCCUUCCUAUCCCAAAGAAGGAGGAAAGAAAGUUAUUGUGUGUGUGUGUGUGUGUGUGUGUGUGUGUGUGUUUCUGUGCAUCUAAUCCAAAACACACAAUGUUGUUGUUUUAUUUUUCAAUUUUGGAAUUAUCCUAAUAAAGGCAUUCUCUGGGAAGCUCAGACUGCAUCUCAAACCUUUCUCUGACACUAGCAUCCUCAUUGGAACAAAUAGCCCUUUCACUAAAAGCAAUACAGUUAUUGCAUUCAUGUUAUAUGAUGGUAAUUUUCACUUUUGCUUUCAAUACAACAUUAAAAGAAAAAUUGUCUAUAGGAAAGAAAGAGGCAAUAUACUAUAUCCUGGAACUAAUUCUUUGGCAUCUGUAAAAAAGGGGGCCAUAAUUCUGAAUAGAGGCUCCUGUCCUAAAACAGACCCAAUGCUAAGAUCUAAUAGAAAGGGCACAGAGAAGCAUAAGGAAACUUAAUGUCACUUUCACGUUUUUUGUACAAGUUGAUGUGAGGAUCUAAAGAGGCAAUUUCUGUAAAAUGCCUAGUAGAGGACCAGGCAUAUAGUAAGCCCUCAGCAAAUGCUGGCUGUUAUCAUUAUGUUUUAUAAAGAAUUUUUACAUCUUCCUCCUAAGCCCUGAGGCUUCAUAACGAAGCCUUAUAUAUGACUCUCAAUGGCUCAAUGUCUUUCCUAACCUAAUGUAGAAAGUGACAUACCAUUGCUUCCAACAUAACCUAUUGGUCACAUGGACCAACAUAAGACCAAUGUGGGAUGACCCUGUACAUAAGGGUAAGAAGCAGGCAUCACUUGGGGCCAUCUCAAAGGAAGGUGACCACAACUGCCUAAUGGCAGUUGAAUCCUUUAUCAAGCUACCCUCAGUAACACUUCAGCUUUCAAGGACCAGGUUUUUGUGACUAUUGUGAACAGGAUUUUAGUGAAUGAAGAUAUAUCCCAAAAUAACAUUUCACUUAAAAGUUGAAUAUCUGUUAUCAAUUUACAAAUGCUUUUAUGUUAUAUCUCACUUGAGCUUCAAAAUAACCUUUUAAGACAGACAAGAGUAGAAACUACUCCAGUGAUUUCAUAGAUAAGGAAACUGAAGAUCAGAGAGACUUAAUGAUUAACCUAAGAUUUAAACUAGAUAUCCUCCUAGCAUUCUCAUGGCACUUAUUCUGCUAGCGUAGGCUGCCUUGUAUAUUUUUUAAAUGACUAUCUGUUUAUGUGCUGGUCAUGGGGUUUGCAGCAAAUCACAAGUGUGUAAUUUUUUUUUCUUAAAGGCAUUUAAUCUACUUUCUAAAAAUCACUAGAAUUCAGAAACUGAUACUACUUCUUUUGUUUCAUUAUUUGCCUCCCUGCCCCCAACACUCAUACAUAUUUAGAGACACCCAUGGACACUCAUGAACACACAUAUUCUUCUUUCUAGUCCCUUAUCAAUGGCAAACUAAAGUUAUUUUAGAAUAUACUAGCUGUCAUUGUGCCACAGAGAAACCUCUCUUUCAUGCAAAUUGAUAUAUGUAUAUAAUCAUACAUGUUUAUAUAUAAACUUUGUAGCUUUCCUCCCUCUUUUCUAAAAUAAAUUAUGAAAGGUUGUAUGUUCAGGCUUCACGCAGAAUUUUUCAUUUGAGGGAGACUUUUUCAACCCUUUCUAUUUGAGUUGGUAGCCAUUUAUAUGAAGAGAAAAUGAAUACUAAUGGAAAAUCCUAGAGUGGAUUUGGAAAAUCAUUAUAACAGUUCUGCUAUAGGUUUGGGCCUUUGACAAACCACCUAUUCAAGGAUGAAAAAUCCACUAUUUCUCUUCUGCAUUUCUUUUUCCGAAUACAGCUAGAUUGAAUAACAGGCCAGAUAAAGGAUUCAGAACAAUUGCUUUACUAAGUAAUAGUGAGCCCAUGUUCUAACCAAUGGGACAGAAACUGACCCUCUGUAUCUCUGACACAGUUGCCUUUCAUUGACAGAUUUACAGUGGAGGGGUUGGGAGAGCAGAUGAAUUAAAAAAAAACAAAAGCAAAUCAAGAUCCCCCAUAAAUUUCACGAUCCCCACAUCUUCCACCUCAGCACCUAUUAGAACACCUUACUCUUAAAUUCUGCACAUGUGGAGAUUUAUUUGUAUCCCAGAGGUUUGCUCAGAUGUUUCCUCUGUGCUUUCAAUGCAGGCCCACCCUUUUCUUUCUUCAUAUUAAAACCAUAUAGAUUCUCCUUGAAGCCUUCUCAACUGGUAAUAAUCAUUUACAUCCUUGCUAGUGCUUAUGAUUUUCGAAUUACUUUUAGAUAAUCUAACUCAGCGAUCUCCACACAACCUUAGACACUUAGCCCGGCAAGUAUUGUGCUUUUGCUUUCAUGGAUGAGAAAAAGGAGACUUGGAGUGCUUUGAUUAGCAAACAAGGUUACAGAGCUAAAAAAGGAGUGACACUGGAGUAGAUCCCAGCUUAAAUGAAACCCACUGCUUUACCUGCCCCUAUAGCCUGCAUGAUAUUUCCCUAUUCUGAGUGCUUGGAGCUCUUGGAGUCUCUUACAUCUAAUGUGAUCAUUAAGAGGUACUAACUGUCUGAUUGCUUCUUGUGUGCAGCUAACUCACUGGUGACCCAGCACUUUGGGAGGAUGAGGAGGGUGGAUCACAAGGUCAGGAGUUCGAGACCAGCCUGGCCAACAUGAUGAAACCCCGUCUCUACUAAAAAUACAAAAAUUAGCCAGGCGUGGUGGCAUGCACCUGUAUUCCCAGCUACUUGGGACACUGAGGCAGGAGACUUGCUUGAACCCGGGAGGCAGAGGUUGCAGUGAGCCAAGAUCGUGCCACUGCACUCCAGCCUGGGCGACAGAGUGAGACUCCAUCUCAAAAAUAAGUAAAUGAAUAAAUAAAAAUAAAAUAGAUUGAGCCUCCACAUUUUGCAUGCAGCUUUCUUGGUGCUUGUCCUUCUCCUGUGCUUACUCAAAGAUGGGACAUUGUGCACAAUGAGAAGAGUAUUGGGACCAGUAAGGAAGAAUGAGUCAGAUAUUGUGGGACCUCUUUUUUUGUUGUUUUUUUUUGCUCCCAGAAAUCUUUGAGGUAAGUAACAUAGUCAAUUGAGGUCUGGAGUUAUGUACUCCAUUUAUUCAUUUUUUCUUAACAUAGUCCCUCCUUACUAUGUGAUAUUCUCUGUCCUAGACCUUGAAAAUACAAGUUAAAUAUGGCAUAUUCUUUACCUCUAUGAGCUUAAAAUUGAGUGGGGAAAGUUUCAUUUUUUCUUUGAAAUGAAAACAAACUUAAGUACCGAUAUGCAUGAGAAAAAUAAAUUGUUCAUUUCUUUACCUACAUCUCAUCAGGAGUAAACACAUUCUCUCUCUGGCUAAGCCAAAUAUACCAUAAAUCCCUCCUAAAAAAAUACCCUGAAAUUGAGAAUCCAAUUUUAAUGGCUAAAUUAUAUUUACCUUGAACUGAGCAUUUUCUAUUAGGAUUUACGUAUGCAUCUUGGGGAUUCUGAAUGUUGGACUUUUUUUUCUUUUUUCUUUUAGAUUUUAACCUGAAUGGAAAAGACAAUAUGAGGGUGAUGAAAGACUCUAGAUGGUCCGUCUUGGAGAGAAGGUUUUGCCGUCUUGCCCCAGUUGGUCUCGAACUCCCGGGCUCAAGCAAUCCACCUGCCUUGGCCUCCCAAAGUGCUGGGAUUACAGACGUGAGCCACCAUACCCUGUCCAGUUUGGAAAUUUCUUACAAAGCUAAACCUAGUCUUAGAAUACAUUCCUGCAAUUGUUCUCUUAGACCAGUAAUGAGGUGUCUCCUGGCACACAAUCACAAUGCACUGACAAACCAUCUUGGUGUGUGAAAAAGACUCAGAAAAAUCCAAGCAAUGUGACACUACUAGCAAGCAUAGUUCCACUUCACCAGAGACUUCAGGUCAUAGUUGGGCCUAAGGCAGAGUCGCUUGGCUGGAGAAGUCAUUAUUUAUAGGACUAUAGACCAAGUUUCAUGUCUGAGAGGCUCUUACGUUAUUACAUAGAAACAAAAUUUUGUUAUCUAUAAGAAUGAUUUGCGUCUUUCUCCUUACGUUAGUAAUCCUAAGAAAAUAUUGAAAAUGAAUCAUUCUUUAAAACAAUUAAACAAUUUACUGAUUAUUUUCACCACUAUAUGAUGCACAUGUGCCUACCAAGAAAUCAGAUAUUUUCUUGUGUGUAGCUUCAUUCAAUAGAGUAAAAUAGAAAACUUUUAUUAUUAAUAAAAAUGUGAAAUUCCAUGUCAUAUACUAUGAUGUAUAAUCUUCUAUGCUUCAUUGUGUCUAUCCUUUAGCAUCACCAUUGACUGACUUCAAGAGUACACUUUCCCCUUACAUAGCUGUGCUAGUUGCUACAGGUAAUAUUUAAAAGCAUAAAAUACAGUCUCUGACUCUGUGCUUUAACUUAAUCCAGUUGGAGAAACAGAAUAUGUGUAAAAAGAUGAAAAAUUAUGGAAUUUAAUAAAAUCUAAUUCCAAAUGGAAAAUAUAGGCAAGAAAUAUGAUAAGACAUCAAUACCUGAGAACAAGAUUACCAUUGGAGAGGGUAGACCAGGUGCAGUUUUUCUAUGACUAGUAGACUCCGAAAGAAGGGAAUUCUAAACAAGAAGGUAUGUGGAAGAAGCAGUAUAUUUUAAACCCUCAACUCUUGUUAGAAAAAACAAACAUCCUCUGAGGACUUCCUCAUAGGUAGCAAUAUGAUAAGCAAUAAUGCUCUGCAUCAGGAAUGAAAUUAGGUAUUAAAGGAGGGAAGAUCUAACAAGUAGAAGUUAUAAUUACAGACCUUGAAACUCAUGUUCUAGAUCAGCGGUCUCCACCCUUUUUGGCACUAGGGACCAGUUUUGUGGAAGACAGUUUUUCCACGGACCAGGGUAGGAGAUGCUUUUGGGAUGAUUCAGGCACAUUACAUUUAUUGUGCACUUUAUUUCUAUUAUUAUUACAUUGUAAUAUAUAAUGAAAUAAUUAUACAACUCACUAUAAAAUAGAAUCACUGGGAGCCCUGAGCUUGUUUUCCUGCAACUAGAUGGUCCCAUAUGGGGAUGAUGGGAGACAGUGACAGAUCAUCAAGCAUUAGAUGCUCAUAAGAAGCAAGGAACUGAGAUCCUUGCAACCUAGAUCCAUUGCAUGUGUGGUUCACAAUAGGUUUUGCACUCCUGUGGGAAUCUAAUGCCACUGCUGAUCUGACAAGAGGCGGAGCUUAGGUGGUAAUGUGUCUGGAAAUACAGAUGACGCUUUGCUCACUCACCUGCUGCUUACCUCCUGCUGCGUAGCCUGGUUAUAAACAGGCCAUGAACUGGUACUGGUCUGUGGCCUAGGGGUUGGGGGCUCCUGUUCUAGAUUUUUUAGAGAAGACUACCAUGUAAAAUGAUAGUGAAUAAUUAUUAAUAUUAAUAAUAUAAUAGGUCUAAUUGCUAAAUCAUAUAUCAUAAAAUCUAGCCUUUAUGAUAAUUUACCUUUUAAACAGUCAAUAAAAACUGGAACAAUCUAGUAGGGUAUCACAGCGGUGAUAGGUCUUAACUUGCAUAAUAUUUGAAUUUAUAGAGAGAAUAAAUACCACAUUGAAGUAAAGCACAAAAUAAGCCAUGAAGUCAGUACUCGGUAUUGCAUGUUCGUGAGACAGUGAAGAAUUUAAUUCAAUUACAGACAUGCCAUAGGGAAUAAUGAUUUACCAAACUUUAUCGAGUUAAGUGAUAAAAAGUGUUAUGUUAGGUAGAUUAAUCAAGGGUAGUGGUUCCAUUCUUUGGUUUUUAGAUGCUAGGAAGGCUGUGGAAAUAAAGUUGCAUGUAGCUCCACAUACACACUGAAACAUGUAUCUACCAAGCAAUAAACAUACUUUCAACAUGUUUCCUUUAAAUAUGUAUAAAUAGGCCAGGCGUGGUGGCUCACACCUGUAAUCCCAAUAAUUUGGGAGGAUGAGGCUGGUGAAUCACUUGAAUUGAGGAGUUUAAGAGCAGUCUGGGCAACAUGGUGAAAUCCUGUUUCUACAAAAAAAUACCCCCCAAAAUGCUUAUAAAUAUGACUACUACAAUAAAAAUAAAUUUAAUGAAUAUAAUUUAUUGUAAUAGGCCAUUCUAUAUUUUUUCAGUCAACAGAUGUGAUUAUUAUCUUACACUGGGAGAUGCCUACCUGUCUCGUCUCCUCUCCUUUCCUCUCCUCUCCUCUCCUCUCCUUUCCCUUUUCCCUUCUUUUCUUCCCUCCUCUCCCCUCUCCUUCCCCUUCUCCUUCCCUUCCCUUCCCCUUCCCUACUCCUUCCCUUCUUUGCCUAAGCUGGAGUGCAGUGGCAUGAUCUCAGCUCACUGCAACAUCCACCUCCCUGGUCCAAGCAAUUCUCCCACCUCAGCCUCCCUAGUAGCUGGGAUUACAGGCGCACCACCACAUCUGGCUAAUUUUUGUAUUUUUUAGUAGAGACAGGGUUUCACCAUGUUGGCCAGGCUGGUCCCGAACUCCUGAUCUCAGGUGAUCUACCCUCUUUGGCCUCCCAAAGUGCUAGGAUUACAGGCGUGAGCCACCACGCCCCACUUUAAUUUUGUAUUUUUAGUAGAGACGGGGUUUCACCAUGUUGGCAAGGCUGAUCUCUAACUCCUGACCUUGUGAUCUGCCCAUCUAUGCCUCCCAAAGUGUUGAGAUCACAGGCGCGAGCCACCGCGCCCAGCCUCCUCUCCUCUCCUCUCCUUUCCUUUUCGCUUUUCCCUUUCCUUCUUCCUUCCCCUCUCCUCCCUCCCCUUCCCCUUUCCAUCCCCCUCCUGUUCCCUUCUUUCCUUUGGCCUUGUGAAGUAUCUAUAUAUUAUUUUCAUUAAAGUGCUGUCAGGGCUGGGCGAGAUGGAUCAUGCCUAUAAUCCCAGCACUUUGUUAGGCAGAAUCAGGCAGCUCACCUGAGGUCAAAAGUUCGAGACCAGCCUGGCCAACAUUGCAAAACCCCGUCUCUACUAAAGAAUACAAAAAUUAGUGGAGUGUGGUGGCAUGUGACUGUAAUCUCAGCUACUCAGGAGGCUGAGGUAGGAGAAUUGCUUGAACCCAGGAGGCGAAGUCUGCAGUGAGCCGAGAACUCGCCACUGUACUCCAGCCUGGGAGACAGAGUGAGACUCCAUCUCAAAAACAAAACAAAACAAAACAAAACAAAACAAAACAAAACAAACAAAAAAAUUGCUGCUAGCCAGGCAUAGUGACAUGCACCUGUAGUUGUAGCUAUUUGGAGGCUGAGGUCAGAGGAAAGCUUGAGGCCAGAAGUUUGAGACCAAUCUGGGCAACAAAGCAAGAUCCCAUCUCUAAAAUACAAAAACAAACAAACAAACAACCAUGCUGCCAACUUACAUUGACAUAUGCUUUUUAAUUAUCAAAUAUAAAAUGUACAGACUAAAUGCUCAAUAUAUUUUCAUUUGUGUUGUUUGUUAUUGGUUUACUGAGUUAUGCUAA
rnacentral:lncRNA from 1 species